AGUGAACGCUGGCGGUAGGCCUAACACAUGCAAGUCGAACGGCAGCACAGUAAGCGCUUGCUCUUACGGGUGGCGAGUGGCGGACGGGUGAGGAAUACAUCGGAAUCUACUUUUUCGUGGGGGAUAACGUAGGGAAACUUACGCUAAUACCGCAUACGACCUACGGGUGAAAGCAGUGGAUCUUCGGACCUUGCGCGAUUGAAUGAGCCGAUGUCGGAUUAGCUAGUUGGCGGGGUAAAGGCCCACCAAGGCGACGAUCCGUAGCUGGUCUGAGAGGAUGAUCAGCCACACUGGAACUGAGACACGGUCCAGACUCCUACGGGAGGCAGCAGUGGGGAAUAUUGGACAAUGGGCGCAAGCCUGAUCCAGCCAUACCGCGUGGGUGAAGAAGGCCUUCGGGUUGUAAAGCCCUUUUGUUGGGAAAGAAAAGCAGCAGGUUAAUACCCCGCUGUUCUGACGGUACCCAAAGAAUAAGCACCGGCUAACUUCGUG
rnacentral:rRNA from 1 species